rnacentral:rRNA from 1 species
CGCUGGCGGCGUGCCUAACACAUGCAAGUCGAACGAGGUCCAUCCUUCGGGAGAAGACCUAGUGGCGAACGGGUGAGUAACACGUGAAGAACCUGCCCCGAAGACCGGGAUAACCCUCCGAAAGGAGAGCUAAUACCGGAUACCCCCACCGAACCGCAUGGUUUGGUGGGGAAAUGGAUUCCGCUUCGGGAGGGCUUCGCGGCCUAUCAGCUAGUUGGUGGGGUAACGGCCCACCAAGGCAUCGACGGGUAGCUGGUCUGAGAGGACGAUCAGCCACACUGGGACUGAGACACGGCCCAGACUCCUACGGGAGGCAGCAGUGGGAAUCUUGCGCAAUGGGCGAAAGCCUGACGCAGCAACGCCGCGUGGGGAUGAAGGCUCUCGGGUUGUAAACCCCUUUCAGCAGGGACGAAUCAAGACGGUACCUGCAGAAGAAGCCCCGGCUAACUACGUG